GGGGAGAAAGAAAGAAAGAAAGAAAGAAGGAAAGAAACACAGAAAGGAAAGCGUGAAUGGAUCGACGUCACAGGAAGACAUGCUGACAGAAAACACGAGGAGCUUUUCUUUCGUUUUCUUUUU
rnacentral:ribozyme from 11 species